GGCGAUGAUGACAAUUUCGCUAUCUGAUUCUGUGAUGACUACUCCCGCAGCUGAGC
rfam:Methanocaldococcus jannaschii DSM 2661, complete genome.